GACAGAGGAUGCAAACGUUGUUCGGAAUUACUGGGCGUAAAGCGAGUGUAGGCGGUCUGAAAAGUCAGGUGUGAAAGCCCUGGGCUCAACCCAGGAAGUGCACUUGAAACUGCCAGGCUAGAGUAUCGGAGAGGUUGGUGGAAUUCACGGUGUAGCAGUGAAAUGCGUAGAUAUCGUGAGGAACACCAGAGGCGAAGGCGGCUACCUGGACAAUUGCUGACGCUCAGGCACGAAAGCGUGGGGAGCAAACAGG
rnacentral:rRNA from 1 species